rnacentral:lncRNA from 10 species
CUAAAUUAUACACUAUUUUAAGAUUUUAAAAUUUUUAUUUAAAAUAUUUGACAUAAGGUUGGGCGUCGUGGCUCAUGCCUGUAAUCCCAGCACUUUGGAUGGUCGAGGAGGGCGGAUCACGAGGUCAGGAGUUUGAGACCAGCCUGGCCAACGUGGUGAAACCCUGUCUCUACUAAAAAUACAAAAAUUAGCCAGGCGUGGUGGCGGGCACCUGUAAUCCCAGCUACUCAGGAGGCUGAGGCAGGAGAAUCGCUUGAACCUGGGAGGCGGAGGUUGCAGUGAACCAAGAUCACACUACUGCACUCCAGCCUGGGUGACACAGCAACACUCUGUCUCAAAAAAA